rnacentral:rRNA from 1 species
GACGAACGCUGGCGGCGUGCUUAACACAUGCAAGUCGAGCGAGAAACUUCGGUUUCUAGCGGCGGACGGGUGAGUAACACGUGGGCAACCUGCCUCACAAUGGGGGAUAGCCUUCCGAAAGGACGAUUAAUACCGCAUAACACAAAGGAAACGCAUGUUUCUUUUGCCAAAGAAUUUCGUUGUGAGAUGGGCCCGCGGCACAUUAGCUUGUUGGUGAGGUAACGGCUCACCAAGGCGACGAUGCGUAGCCGACCUGAGAGGGUGAUCGGCCACAUGGGAACUGGGACGCGGUCCAGACUCCUACGGGAUGCGGCAGUGGGGAAUAUUGCACAAUGGAGGAAACUCUGAUGCAGCCACGCCGCGUGAGUGAUGUAGGUCUUCGGAUUGUAAAGCUCUAUCUUCUGGGACGAUAAUGACGGUACCAGAGGAGGAAGCCACGGAUAACUACGUGCCAGCAGCCGCGGUAAUAC